UGGGGAAUCUUGCGCAAUGGGCGAAAGCCUGACGCAGCGACGCCGCGUGCGGGAUGAAGGCCUUCGGGUUGUAAACCGCUUUCAGCAGGGACGAUCGUGACGGUACCUGCAGAAGAAGCCCCGGCCAACUACGUGCCAGCAGCCGCGGUAAUACGUAGGGGGCGAGCGUUGUCCGGAUUUAUUGGGCGUAAAGAGCUCGUAGGCGGUUUGGUAAGUCAGGUGUGAAAUCUCCACGCUCAGCGUGGAGGGGCCACCUGAUACUGCCAUGACUUGAGUACGGUAGAGGAGUGUGGAAUUCCCGGUGUAGCGGUGAAAUGCGCAGAUAUCGGGAGGAACACCCGUAGCGAAGGCGGCACUCUGGGCCGAUACUGACGCUGAGGAGCGAAAGCGUGGGGAGCAAACA
rnacentral:rRNA from 1 species